rnacentral:rRNA from 1 species
GAACGGGUGAGUAACGCGUGAGGAACCUGCCUCAAAGAGGGGGACAACAGUUGGAAACGACUGCUAAUACCGCAUAAGCCCACGACCCGGCAUCGGGAAGAGGGAAAAGGAGCAAUCCGCUUUGAGAUGGCCUCGCGUCCGAUUAGCUAGUUGGUGAGGUAACGGCCCACCAAGGCGACGAUCGGUAGCCGGACUGAGAGGUUGAACGGCCACAUUGGGACUGAGACACGGCCCAGACUCCUACGGGAGGCAGCAGUGGGGAAUAUUGCACAAUGGGGGAAACCCUGAUGCAGCGACGCCGCGUGGAGGAAGAAGGUCUUCGGAUUGUAAACUCCUGUUGUUGAGGAAGAUAAUGACGGUACUCAACAAGGAAGUGACGGCUAACUACGUGCCAGCAGCCGCGGUAAAACGUAGGUCACAAGCGUUGUCCGGAAUUACUGGGUGUAAAGGGAGCGCAGGCGGGAAGACAAGUUGGAAGUGAAAUCCAUGGGCUCAACCCAUGAACUGCUUUCAAAACUGUUUUUCUUGAGUAGUGCAGAGGUAGGCGGAAUUCCCGGUGUAGCGGUGGAAUGCGUAGAUAUCGGGAGGAACGCCAGUGGCGAAGGCGGCCUACUGGGCACCAACUGACGCUGAGGCUCGAAAGUGUGGGUAGCAAACAGGAUUAGAUACCCUGGUAGUCCACACCGUAAACGAUGAUUACUAGGUGU